GAAAGGACAAAAAAAAAAAAAAAAUAUAGAGUUAGGGGUUCCUUUCGGAAAAAUAAAGAAAUUUGUUUAUCUAUUUAAUAAAUAGUAAAUUGUUUUUUUUUAUUAUUUUUCUUUUCUUUUUUAUUUGUGUGUAUCUUUUUUUU
rnacentral:ribozyme from 1 species